rnacentral:rRNA from 1 species
UACGUAGGGUGCAAGCGUUGUCCGGAAUUAUUGGGCGUAAAGGGCGCGUAGGUGGCCUUCUUAGUCAGACGUGAAAUCCCCGGGCUUAACUCGGGAACUGCGUCUGAUACUGGAAGGCUGGAGUUCGGGAGAGGAAUGUGGAAUUCCAGGUGUAGCGGUGAAAUGCGUAGAUAUCUGGAGGAACACCGGUGGCGAAGGCGGCAUUCUGGACCGAAACUGACGCUGAGGCGCGAAAGCCAGGGGAGCAAACGGG